ensembl:lncRNA
CCGUGUGUGGAGUGAAGCUGCCCUAGAGUUUUGUAUGCAUCUCCGUGUGUGGAGUGAAGCUGCCCUAGAGUUUUGUAUGCGUCUCUGUGUGUGGAGUGAAGGUGCCCUAGAGUUUUGUAUGCAUCUCCGUGUGUGGAGUGAAGCUGCCCUAGAGUUUUGUAUGCAUCUCCGUGUGUGGAGUGAAGCUGCCCUAGAGUUUUGUAUGCGUCUCUGUGUGUGGAGUGAAGCUGCCCUAGAGUUUUGUAUGCAUCUCUGUGUGUGGAGUGAAGGUGCCCUAGAGUUUUGUAUGCGUCUCUGUGUGUGGAGUGAAGGUGCCCUAGAGUUUUGUAUGCAUCUCCGUGUGUGGAGUGAAGCUGCCCUAGAGUUUUGUAUGCGUCUCUGUGUGUGGAGUGAAGGUGCCCU